AUUGAACGCUGGCGGCAGGCCUAACACAUGCAAGUCGAGCGAGCGGCGGACGGGUGAGUAAUGUCUGGGAAUCUGCCUGAUGGAGGGGGAUAACUACUGGAAACGGUAGCUAAUACCGCAUACCAUCAGAUGUGCCCAGAUGGGCUUAGCUGGGAGGUGGGGUAACGGCUCACCUAGGCGACGAUCCAUAGCUGGUCUGAGAGGAUGACCAGCAAAACUGGAACUGAGACACGGUCCAGACUCCUACGGGAGGCAGCAGUGGGGAAUAUUGCACAAUGGGCGCAAGCCUGAUGCAGCCAUGCCGAGUGUGUGAAGAAGGCCUUCGGGUUGUAAAGCACUUUCAGCGGGGAGGCGUUACCCGCAGAAGAAGCACCGGCUAACUCCGUGCCAGCAGCCGCGGUAAUUC
rnacentral:rRNA from 1 species